GAGUUUGAUCCUGGCUCAGGAUGAACGCUGGCGGCGUGCAUAACACAUUCAAGUCGAACGGACUUAAUUGAUUCGGUAAUUAAGUUAGUGGCGGACGGGUGAGUAACGCGUGAGUAACCUGCCUAUCUGAGGGGAAUAACACAGGGAAACUUGUGCUAAUACCGCAUAACGUACAGAUAUCGCAUGAUAACUGUACCAAAGAGCAAUCGCAGAUAGAUGGACUCGCGUCUGAUUAGAUAGUUGGCAGGGUAACGGCCUACCAAGUCUACGAUCAGUAGCCGAACUGAGAGGUUGAACGGCCACAUUGGAACUGAGAAACGGUCCAGACUCCUACGGGAGGCAGCAGUGGGGAAUAUUGGGCAAUGGACGAAAGUCUGACCCAGCGACGCCGCGUGAGGGAAGAAGGUCUUCGGAUUGUAAACCUCUGUUGACAGGGAAGAAGGAAGUGACGGUACCUGUCGAGGAAGCCACGGCUAACUACGUGCCAGCAGCCGCGGUAAUACGUAGGUGGCAAGCGUUAUCCGGAAUUACUGGGUGUAAAGGGUGUGUAGGCGGGACUGCAAGUCAGAUGUGAAAACUAUUGGCUUAACCAAUAGCCUGCAUUUGAAACUGUGGUUCUUGAGUGUCGGAGAGGUAAAUGGAAUUCCUGGUGUAGCGGUGAAAUGCGUAG
rnacentral:rRNA from 1 species